AUAUAUAUAUAUAUAUAUAUAUAUAUAUAUAUAUAUAUAUAUAUUGUAUUGUGAUUGUAUGAUGUAUUGAAGUAAUUAUUUCCCAUUUAGAAAAAAAAUAGUUAAUAAUCAAGAGAGGUCUGGUUUCGUAACAAAGAUUUACCAAAUUCAUCAACGUAAUAUUUCUGCUUUACAUCUGACUACAAUGAUUAUUUUUAUUGGCAUUUAGCACCAACAAUGGCAAAAAAUUGGCCUUACGUAAAUCAUUCAUUUAGAGAAACAACUUUAAGUUGACUCGAUAUGAAAAAGAAAGGAAUAAACCUUGUUUUUGUGUAUUUGGAUUGAUUUUUUUAUAAUUUACGAAAUAUAUUUUAAUAUAUUUAAA